rnacentral:lncRNA from 1 species
GCACCCCCGGUCUAUCUCUCUCAUCUCUCUCAUUUCCCUCAAGAAUCCUAGAGCGCCGUCCUAAAACGCUUUACCUCCUCCGAUGGCGGCGCAACCUUACACCACUCCAAUCCAUUCAAAAAUCACACCCUAGCAUCCCAUUCGACCCCUUAUACCAAAUUCAGUACCUUUUUCCUUCGAACCGUCAAAUAGUCUUUCAAAUCUGGAAUCAAAGCUUGAAACCCUAAACCCCAAAUCGCUUCGCCUUCGGAUCUGUGGCAUUAAACACCUAAACUUCAGAAUUUUUGAGUUUCGAAAUUUAAUUUGGCAUAAAGUAGUGUUGGUCGUUUGUUCUUGACAAAGAACAAACGAUUAACACGUGUUGUGUUAAAUCAAGGCGUCCAGUGUUGGCUUCGAGUGGUGUAGGUAAGUUUUCUUGCAUUUUUCUGUCCACUUGUGUUAUUUCACUUCCUGUCCUCUUCUUUUCUUCUCCUUUUUCUUUAAGUAGACUGAAAAUCGACCAAGGUUAUGAACCUAUUUUUUCCAUUCUGGAUUGAUUCAUGUCCGUAUUUGUUCCGUCUUCUUUCCAAUUAUCUUUUCAACAUUUAAAAAAGCUAUUCAUUGAUUCCAUUUGGUUUAUUCAUCUACGUUUAAGUUUCUGAUUUUUGUCCAUCAUAUUCUAGUCGUAAAAUAACUUGACUAGAUGUUGUUUAAUUUGGUCAUCUAGCUUAAUUUUAGUUUUAUUCAUAUUAAUUAAAAAUCAGUCAAUCCUUUGGUGUUGAAAACAUUCAACUGUUUCUUUUUUUGUUUCUCACUAAAUCGUUAAAAUUAGCUUCUGAUAUGGUUUGGGCUUUGGGUUCGUUUCUGACCCAUUUUUAAGGGAAGCCCAUCCAUUUUGAUUUGGAGUCUUGGGUCAAGAUUGACCCAUGAUGGUCUACUAAAGUAAAUAAUAAGGUAUUAAAGGGUAAUUCAGGGAUUUUAAGUAGAAAAUUGCUAGGAAGGAAAGAUUAGGACCUGUUUAGAAAAUUAUUUUUCAACCAAAGAUCUAAGAGCAAAAAUAAAAAUUCAAAAAGGAUUAAUGGGAAACUUCUGAAUUAUUUAUACUGCCCUAAAGAUUCUCUAUAAAAGGCCUUUACUUCUUAAUCAAAAUAGAUUUUAGAAACUAAAAAAUAUUGAAAUUUAGAAAACAGCCGAGUCUUCAAAAUACUAAAAUCUAUUGUAAUUUCUGGUGGAAAUUGGGUCUAACUUCUAUUUGUUCUAGCAUCUAAAAAUUACAUUAUGGGUUAUUUUUGAGGUUCUAAAAUGGUUUUCAAGUCUGGUUGUUGCUGGUAUACUGAAUCGAAUCUGCUGCUGUUUUUUCUUCUUAAAUUCCCCGUUCAUUUCUAUUGUUAUUUGUUGUUGUAAGAAGAUACUCAUUGAACCUUACUGAUAUGUUGAAAUGGAAGAGUUUUGAAGUUGGCUAAUUAAGUCAAAAUAUCAGUGAUAUAUCUUUUAUUUUUCUGCAGCCAUUUGGUUCUGUAAUUAAUUUAACUCUCUUCAUGUUGUAUUUGUUCUUUUUAUUUUUAUUUUUAGCUUUAAGCUAUGUUUGUAGUACUGGAUAAACUAUUUCCUCCAGUCAUUUAGUUUAAAUGAGCUGAGUUUGUGUUGGUAUGAUUGGAUUGUUAAUAUUACUGCGGUAGAGACUUCAGUCGAAUUAAACAUGGCUUAGAUACACUCUAGUCUGCGGAAAUCAAUGUUUGUUUGUGGUAAUUUUUGUUUGAAUUUGCUGAAUAUGUAAUAAAGACUUUCAGUCGAAAUUUAUGCUAAUAGAUGUAUCCUGCUAUUUGGAAGCCAUGUAGUAUGAAGUAAUUAACUAAAUGAUUAGUCAGUUUACAGUCCUCUUGGAUAAGAAAAUGGUUUGGGCUAUUACCUUAAGAGUCGAGCCAUGUAUGGAAUUACUUUUGGUUGCGUGUAAGUAUGUUUAAGUUGAGAUUGAUGUUUAAAUUUAAACUUGUUUACUUGUCAGUCUCAUGAGGUUUGAUUUGCUAAUUAUAUGUAUUGAAGAGGAGUUUUAAUUAAGGUUUAAAUCUCAUAAUUGUCGAUUUUGAGUUAGCUGGAAGAUUGAUUUGACUGUGUUGAAAGUCAUGUUGGGCUUAUGUUGAUACCCCUAGUGUUUAGACGCUUUUUGCAUGCCAUGGAGACUCGAUCUCGAAUCUUGCACUCCCUACCCCCUAGUUCUCAAAAAUUUUGGGCCGUUCUUUGGGGUCUAGACCUUGAGGCCAUCUGAAAUGUGAAUGAGAUUUUUACAUAUACAUCCCAUAUAGCAAACCUUACAACCACCCAUGUUUAAGGUUUGUGUUUAUUACAUUUAAGUAUACAACCUUUCAAUUUAUGUAUCAAAAUUAUAUUUAAGGUUUAAUGAUCAACUUAUUAAUGAUAGGCUUGAUUUGUGGAACAAAAUCUUUUCAUAUUUUUUUUUACACGUUUUUCUCUUUCUUCCAACAAAACCGAUGCAUUUCUCCCCUUUUUUAAUUACACCCCCCUCCCCACGUUUAUUUACCAAAACAGAAUUCUCUAAUUCUCUGCUUUUAUUUCAUCCUCCAUUGUCAUCCUCCAUUUUCGAAGGUUGCCAUGUUUCAGAUCGAGAGUUUCAUUCGCCAUAUUUUUAGCCUACGGUUGCAUCGAAGUCCGCCACAUUGCUUUAAUUUCUCUGCUUUAAUGUUUUGUAGUUUAAUAUAUUUUUGCCAAAAAAUAGAAUGCAAGUGUUUUUUUGGUGUUUAAUUUUUUGUCAAAAUGUACUGUAUUAUUGCAUACUAGGGUUGUUUAUACAAAUUGUAAUUAAUUGUAGUUUUUUGGAGUUAAUUUGUAGUUAAUUGGCAAAAUGUACUAUUGAAUCAAAUUUGUAGUUAAUUGUAGUUUUUGUAGUUUGAUGUAGUUUAAUGUACUUUUUAUUUGGAACUAUGACUGUUGACUCAAAUUUUUAGUUAAUUAUAGUUUUUGUAGUUUAAUGUAGUUUACUGUACUUUUUAUUUGGAACUGUGAUAAAAAUACAGUGUAUAAAAGUAGUUACAUUGUACAUGCNN